rnacentral:rRNA from 1 species
AGUGAACGCUGGCGGUAGGCCUAACACAUGCAAGUCGAACGGCAGCACAGUAAGAGCUUGCUCUUACGGGUGGCGAGUGGCGGACGGGUGAGGAAUACAUCGGAAUCUACUUUUUCGUGGGGGAUAACGUAGGGAAACUUACGCUAAUACCGCAUACGACCUACGGGUGAAAGCAGGGGAUCUUCGGACCUUGCGCGAUUGAAUGAGCCGAUGUCGGAUUAGCUAGUUGGCGGGGUAAAGGCCCACCAAGGCGACGAUCCGUAGCUGGUCUGAGAGGAUGAUCAGCCACACUGGAACUGAGACACGGUCCAGACUCCUACGGGAGGCAGCAGUGGGGAAUAUUGGACAAUGGGCGCAAGCCUGACCCAGCCAUACCGCGUGGGUGAAGAAGGCCUUCGGGUUGUAAAGCCCUUUUAUUGGGGAAGAAAAGCAGCAGGUGAAUACCCCGCUGUUUUGACGGUACCCAAAGAAUAAGCACCGGCUAACUUCGUG